rnacentral:misc_RNA from 1 species
AACACCUCAACUCCCCUUUCUUUUUUGAAAUGGGAGCUGGACUUGAGUGAUCCCAACGCUUUUCUCACCGAAAAGUGGCGGGUUACUUGAAAUGCAGGUGCAGCUGGACUUUUCUCUGAGCUAAAAGCAUAUCUAUUUAGUCUGCCUAAAAACAGAUUAUUACCUUUGCUGCAGCUAACAUAAAGGAGAUUAGUUCUUGUGCUGACUGAUGCAGGAUUCACAGAGACAGCUUCGGCUGGCUUUGUAAAC